AAUUACAUAAUUUAUGUUACAUCUAUGUGGGAGUCAUUGCUAAAUAGAUAUGUUUGACACAGACGUCUUUCUUUGCGAUGUAUGAAAAAGCGAGGUUUAAAAAAAAUAAAUAGCUUAGCUUUAAAAAAUGGAAAAUAAUAAAGUUGAAUAAGAUGUCGAGCAUGAAUGGAUGCUUUCAAUGGAAGCCCAUUGUGGAAAGUGUCAUUCCUAUUGAAAUGCGUCUAGGAAUGACCGCAGGAAGCUAUGCAGCCGUUUCAUUUAUUCGUAGCUUAAUAUGUUGCAUGCAAAAAUGCGAAGAACAGGAAAGUGUGGCUGUAUUUAGACCAACCGAUGAAAAAUGUCCACCAGACGUAACUUAUCAAACAAGAAUGACAGAAACAGUGCAACAGCAAACAUUAGCCCCAUUCAAUUAAAAAUUUGCUAAUUAACUUUAAAAGAUUUUGUACAAUUUGAUAUAGCAAACUUUAUGCUUUGCAAUAGCUUAUUUUUUCAAAUCAUAUAAACUAGAUUUAAUAAA